ACGGAUAACAUACCGAAAGGUAUGCUAAUACGAGAUAAUAUGCUUUUAUCGCAUGGUAGAAGUAUCAAAGCUCCGGCGGUACAGGAUGGACCCGCGUCUGAUUAGCUAGUUGGUGAGGUAACGGCUCACCAAGGCGACGAUCAGUAGCCGACCUGAGAGGGUGAUCGGCCACAUUGGAACCGAGACACGGUCCAAACUCCUACGGGAGGCAGCAGUGGGGAAUAUUUCACAAAGGGCGAAAGCCUGAUGCAGCAA
rnacentral:rRNA from 1 species